rnacentral:rRNA from 1 species
GCGAGGGAGACAGAGCUUGUCCUGAAUUCCGGCGGAGGGUGAGUAAUGCCAGAAUCUGCCUGGUGGGGGACAACAAAGCUCCACUCUGGAGAAAGCAGGGACCUUCGGCCUUGCGCUAUCAAUGACGUCGAGGAGAUGGCUCCCAAGGCACUCCCGGCGAAGGAUGACCUGACUGAGACACGGUCCAACGGGAGGCAGCAGUGGGGAAUAUUGGACAAUGGGCGAAAGCCUGAUCCAGCCAUGCCGCGUGUGUGAAGAAGGUCUUCGGAUUGUAAAGCACUUUAAGUUGGGAGGAAGGGCAUUAACCUAAUACGUUAGUGUUUUGACGUUACCGACAGAAUAAGCACCGGCUAACUCUGUGCCAGCAGCCGCGGUAAUACAGAGGGUGCAAGCGUUAAUCGGAAUUACUGGGCGUAAAGCGCGCGUAGGUGGUUUGUUAAGUUGGAUGUGAAAGCCCCGGGCUCAACCUGGGAACUGCAUUCAAAACUGACAAGCUAGAGUAUGGUAGAGGGUGGGUGGAAUUUCCUGUGUAGCGGUGAAAUGCGUAGAUAUAGGAAGGAACACCAGUGGCGAAGCGACCACCUGGACUGAUACUGACACUGAGUGCGAAAGCGUGGGGAGCAAACAGGAUUAGAUACCCUGGUAGUCCACGCCGUAACGAUGUCAACUAGCCUUGGGAGCCUUGAGCUCUUAGUGGCGCAGCUACGCAUUAAGUGACCGCCGGGGAGUACGGCCGCAGUAAAACUCAAAUGAAUUGACGGGGCCCACAACGGUGGAGCAUGUGGUUUAAUCAAGCACGCAAUUACGCCUUGACUCUGAUUUCCAUGGGUGCUCGUUGAUCAGGCUGUCGUCAGCUCGCUGAUGUGAAGUCCUGCACCCGUCGGUUAGUAGGU